GACGAACGCUGGCGGCGUGCUUAACACAUGCAAGUCGAACGCUGAAGCUUGGUGCUUGCACUGGGUGGCUGAGUGGCGAACGGGUGAGUAUUACGUGAGUAACCUGCCCUUGACUCUGGGAUAAGCCUGGGAAACUGGGUCUAAUACUGGAUACGACAUGCCACUGCAUGGUGGUGUGUGGAAAGGGUUUUACUGGUUUUGGAUGGGCUCACGGCCUAUCAGCUUGUUGGUGGGGUAAUGGCCUACCAAGGCGACGACGGGUAGCCGGCCUGAGAGGGUGACCGGCCACACUGGGACUGAGACACGGCCCAGACUCCUACGGGAGGCAGCAGUGGGGAAUAUUGCACAAUGGGCGGAAGCCUGAUGCAGCGACGCCGCGUGAGGGAUGACGGCCUUCGGGUUGUAAACCUCUUUCAGCACGGAAGAAGCGAGAGUGACGGUACGUGCAGAAGAAGCGCCGGCUAACUACGUG
rnacentral:rRNA from 1 species